GACCUUUGUAUUGAGACAAUCAUUAUUUGAUCACUCCAUCCUAUUACAAGCCUAGAUUCUGAUUGCCAGAAUAACUGAUACGGAAAAAUCUCAUCAUUCGGUAGUCGUUUUGGGGGUUCCAAACGGCCUAAAACCUUUCCGAACUCAGUGCUAUAAACUGUAAUACCCAGGUCAGAAGCCCAAGCAAUAUAUGUUGUGUACCACGAUAUUUUAUAAACUGCUCCACAAUCAGCUUGCAGCACGGUGUCUUUAUUUCCUAACCACCCUAAAUUUAUCGUUAGACGUAAAAGAGUAAAAUAAGGGCGCACGCUCCUAUCCAAAAGCAUACCUUUUUCAGAAAGUACAACUUUUCCAGCUCGUCCUCCUGAAAGAACCUGACGGGAUGAUCUAGUACUGUAGUAUGGAUCAAUUGCGACGCUCAAUAAAGGCCGCUUGAAAUCAUGAACAGUAGUUUCGCGAGUAGUAAUAUUAGAAAUGAUCAUUUUUCCUAAUAAAGAUCAGUACUAAUUAAGAACAAUAUUAACUUACCAUCCAUAGAACAUGAAGCUAAAUUUUCGCUUUCAAGGUCCACAGAAAG